GCGAAGUCGCAAGACGAUGUAUAUGGACUGACGCCUGCCCGGUGCUGGAAGGUUAAAAGGAGAGGUGAGAGCUUUGAAUUGAAGCCCCAGUAAACGGCGGCCGUAACUAUAACGGUCCUAAGGUAGCGAAAUUCCUUGUCGGGUAAGUUCCGACCUGCACGAAUGGCGUAACGACUUCCCCACUGUCUCCAGCAUCGACUCAGCGAAAUUGAAUUGCCCGUGAAGAUGCGGGCUACCCGCGGUUAGACGGAAAGACCCCGUGCACCUUUACUACAGCUUUGCAUUGGACUUUGAACCUAUUUGUGUAGGAUAGGUGGGAGACUUUGAAGCGUGAACGCUAGUUUGCGUGGAGUCAUCCUUGAAAUACCACCCUGGUAUGUUUGGAGUCCUAACCCAGGUCCGUAAUCCGGAUCGGGGACAAUGUAUGGUGGGUAGUUUGACUGGGGCGGUCUCCUCCUAAAGAGUAACGGAGGAGCGCGAAGGUACUCUAAAUACGGUCGGAAAUCGUAUGGUUAGUGUAAAGGCAAAAGAGUGCUUGACUGCGAGACGGACAUGUCGAGCAGGUACGAAAGUAGGUCUUAGUGAUCCGGUGGUUCUGUAUGGAAGGGCCAUCGCUCAACGGAUAAAAGGUACUCCGGGGAUAA
rnacentral:rRNA from 1 species